rnacentral:rRNA from 1 species
AUGGCGACCGGCGCACGGGUGAGUAACGCGUAUGCAACCUACCCUGUACAGGGGGAUAGCCCGGAGAAAUUCGGAUUAAUACCCCAUAAAGAUAUUAGAAGGCAUCUUUUGAUAUUUAAAGUUUCGGCGGUACGGGAUGGGCAUGCGUAACAUUAGCUAGUUGGUAGGGUAACGGCCUACCAAGGCAACGAUGUUUAGGGGUCCUGAGAGGGUGAUCCCCCACACUGGUACUGAGACACGGACCAGACUCCUACGGGAGGCAGCAGUGAGGAAUAUUGGUCAAUGGGCGCAAGCCUGAACCAGCCAUCCCGCGUGGAGGAAGAAGGCGCUAUGCGUUGUAAACUUCUUUUCCGGAGGAAUAAAAUUUUGUACGAGUACAGAACUGAAGGUACUCUGGGAAUAAGCAUCGGCUAACUCCGUGCCAGCAGCCGCGGUAAUACGGAGGAUGCAAGCGUUAUCCGGAUUUAUUGGGUUUAAAGGGUGCGUAGGCGGAUUAAUAAGUCAGUGGUGAAAACCUUCAGCUUAACUGGAGACUUGCCAUUGAUACUGUUAGUCUUGAGUAUGGUUAAGGUAGGCGGAAUGUGUAAUGUAGCGGUGAAAUGCUUAGAUAUUACACAGAACACCGAUUGCGAAGGCAGCUUACUGGGCCAUAACUGACGCUGAUGCACGAAAGCGUGGGGAGCGAACAGGAUUAGAUACC